rnacentral:tRNA from 1 species
UGGCUCAGUUGGUAGAGCAUGGUGGUUGCAACGCGAGGGUUGUGGGUUCGAUUCCCAC